rnacentral:rRNA from 1 species
GACGAACGCUGGCGGCGUGCUUAACACAUGCAAGUCGAACGGAAAGGCCCUGCUUUUGUGGGGUGCUCGAGUGGCGAACGGGUGAGUAACACGUGAGUAACCUGCCCUUGACUUUGGGAUAACUUCAGGAAACUGGGGCUAAUACCGGAUAGGUGCUCCUGCUGCAUGGUGGGGGUUGGAAAGUUUCGGCGGUUGGGGAUGGACUCGCGGCUUAUCAGCUUGUUUGUGGGGUAGUGGCUUACCAAGGCUUUGACGGGUAGCCGGCCUGAGAGGGUGACCGGCCACAUUGGGACUGAGAUACGGCCCAGACUCCUACGGGAGGCAGCAGUGGGGAAUAUUGCACAAUGGGCGGAAGCCUGAUGCAGCAACGCCGCGUGCGGGAUGACGGCCUUCGGGUUGUAAACCGCUUUCGCCUGUGACGAAGCGUGAGUGACGGUAAUGGGUAAAGAAGCACCGGCUAACUACGUG